rnacentral:rRNA from 1 species
AGCGAACGCUGGCGGCAGGCUUAACACAUGCAAGUCGAGCGGGCAUCUUCGGAUGUCAGCGGCAGACGGGUGAGUAACACGUGGGAACGUACCCUUCGGUUCGGAACAACUCUGGGAAACUGGAGCUAAUACCGGAUACGCCCUUAUGGGGAAAGGUUUACUGCCGAAGGAUCGGCCCGCGUCUGAUUAUCUAGUUGGUGGGGUAACGGCCUACCAAGGCGACGAUCAGUAGCUGGUCUGAGAGGAUGAUCAGCCACACUGGGACUGAGACCCGGCCCAGACUCCUACGGGAGGCAGCAGGGGGGAAUAUUGGAAAAUGGGCGCAAGCCUGAUCCAGCCAUGCCGCGUGAGUGAUGAAGGCCUUAGGGUUGUAAAGCUCUUUUGUCCGGGACGAUAAUGACGGUACCGGAAGAAUAAGCCCCGGCUAACUUCGUG